AUUUAAGUGACCACCUCUCUUCUUUAUCUUCAUCUCAAGAACUCUUGAAUGAAAUUGUAGAGUGUUAAGUAAGUUUAUUUUCAAUAUUUCCAAGCAAGUAAAAGAGUAACUUCUGCAAAAUCAAGGCAAUAUGGCUCGUAAACUACUACUAAACAGAGGAAGAAGAUCCUUAAGAGGUAGAGACGAACCUGCACCUUCUUACAAUACCAGGCAAUAGGAAAGGGAACCUCUAAUACUUUUGUAGACUAAAGAGGAGAGCGACAGUAGUACAAUCAGUACCAGCUCAAGCCCAGACGAAGCAACGGUUACUAUAUGUCAACCUGCGCCUACUGUAGGUGAAACUAAAGCUGCCAAUGUGGUAGAACAAAUGGAAGCAACUGAUGUGGAUAAUGAACCUGAGGAUGCCAAUGUUAUCAGGCGUAAGGAUUAUCAAGUUUGAGAGGUGAUUAGAUGGAAGAUACAGGGAGCAUGAGAGAAACUAUGACUGAUUGACACCUACAGAAAGAGAGAUAAAAAGGCCAUUCGCAGAGGAACAUCAGAGUGUGAAAACGAAGCUACUUGAGUAUCCUGAGUUGGAACCCCAUUUUAAUGAGUAUGAACUAGCAUGGAUGAGCAGACCACCAGCAGUGUUUCAACCAAAUUGGGUAAGAGAAUUCUUUGCCAAUUAUCUUGUACUAGUAGAAAAGGACAUCCAAAGGGGACAUCAGUUGUAAGCUUGCCGAACAGAGAGUCCAUACCUGUUUGAGUUGUCACUAUCGAUAUCUCAGCCUGAACAAUUAAUAGUAUACUAUUUGGAUCAGAGUAUGAGGCUCCACUUGCUAUACCUGAUCUUAAGUAUAGGUUGAGGACUGUAUCCACUCAGAUGCCUUGGGUGGCUCCGUUAUUGACUGAUGAUGGGAACCCUACUUGGUUGACUAAUCCAUGGGAGCAUAUUGCAAAAUAUUCCAUUAGCUUUAAGGCUAAGUUCUGGUUGGCUGUUGUUUGCUUAAGCCUAAUGCUAAUAAAAAGUGAUGGAAACUUGGAUAAACACAAAGCCAUAUUGGAGGAAAGUUUGGUUUCAGGGUAGCCAGUUGACUUCGGCCAGAUUAUUAUGGUUGACAUGUUUAUGAGUGCAUAUAAAAUAAGGAGUGCAUUGCCAUUCCCAUGCUUAAUCACUAAUUAUGCAAAUAGGCCGGUGUGCCCCUGAUUCAUGGAGUUGACAAUGAAAUCCCGGCUAUAUAUAGAUAGGACAUUAAGAAGUCAAAACAUGAAUCGAAGCUCAAUAUGCGUGUCACCAAGCCUCCAACUUACCAGACUCAAUCUGCACCAACUCUUGAAGCUACAGAAAUUCCUGCAGGUAUGCCAUUGCCUAUCACCACUUAUGUGACACUAGAAUAUGUGCCUCCAGGUACUUCUACAGGGUUGGGUUCUGCACAAUAAAUGGGAGGAGCAGACUUUGCCAAAUACAGGUUCACAUAAGAGAAUUUUGCAAAAUCGGUGAAGCUGCAAAAGAGGUUUCAGAGAUAUUUAGAUAAAUGGGCAUCAAAAUUUAAGCCUUUUGUUGAUGAAAUUGCAGUUGAGGAAUUCCGUCUAUUCUAGACUAUUCACUUUAGGAUGGACAACAUGGAGCACCACAUCAACCAAAGGCUAGAUGCAUUGUCCCUCCCUAAUAUUGCAAAGCUCACGGCUGAAUUUGAGCAGGCAAAGGCUGAUAUAUCAGAGUUAAAGAGAAGGCAACUACACCAGACUAUUUUAGACCCAACCUUAGUGGCAAAUCACGAUGAUGAGGAUAUUUUAGAUCUGAUGCAAAGACCGGUCAAAGAUAAAGAAAAGCAGCCCAUGGAUGAGCGAGUUGUAAGGAAAAAAGAAAAGAGGAGAAAGAGAUCAACAAUCACACUAGAGCAACAGGAAUAGCAUAUCUCUAAAGAGAGCUUGAAAAAAAUCAAGGAAAGAUAAAGAAAAGAGAGAUGAGAGAAGAAGAUGAAGCAGCAGGAGUAACUACUAUUGUUACCCCAGCAAGGGGGAAAAUUUCAAGUUCAAUCCGAGAGAUGUAUUCUCCGGUAUUGGAGGGGGAGGUUUUGGAUGCUCCUACCACCAUAGGGGCCAACAUUACGCCAGGUGAGGACGCAAGAUCCUUAGCACAGUUCACAGAUGCCUCAAAUCAAUAAGAGGCAAUACAAGUAAAGCCAUUCCUUUGUACUUUAAUUUAAUUCUUUGAGGACAAUGCAUGUGAUUUUUUGUGGGAG